UGAAGACCAAUAAUAAAGUUGAACCAGAG
rnacentral:piRNA from 1 species